GGCCCCCGUGCAAGAGGAGCAGCCCCAUCAGAAGAUGUUUUCUCAACAGAAUAUUCCAGUGGUAGUUCCCCCUUUUCUAUCUUUAUCCUUUUCAAUAGUGACAGGAUCCUGGCCUCCUGUGUUGUGGCAGGAAUGUAUUUUUGAUGAGGGUAAGCAUAUUCACAGAGUCAUUUAUAUCCAUCUAGUUUCGGGCCUUUGGUGCUCAGUUUUAACUGCUGGCNNNNNNNNNNNNNNNNNNNNNNNNNNNNNNNNNNNNNNNNNNNNNAGGACUGCAGGUAGAGGGGGGAUGGGGAUCCACGUCGGGGUCUUCGGAGGUUUCACACCGGCACAGUGUUGUGAUGUGUCUCCUGGACCGCAAGCUGUGCUAUUUUUUUUAUCUCUUUUUCUUUUGGUCCCCUGUGCUGAGUUUUUUGAUUUCUCUGCCUCACCAGAAGUGCCCUGUGCCUCUUCAGCUUCUACUGAUGUGAGUUUGCAACUCGUAUGUUCUUCAGAUUUCUCUUUGGAGUUGUUCUCCUUGUUUGUGCUCUCCAUGCUCAGAAAGGUCAAGGUUGAUAAAAUGGAGACUCCCCUUCCAAACUUUGUAUUAAUAAUUUUCUAUAGGCCAGAAGAAAUUUCUUAAAUCCGUGUCAAGAAUGGUAGUUUUACUUCUCAACAAGUUUCAACUUAACACCUUUUCACUGAAUUAACAGCUGUCUCAGACAUUCAAGGAUGAAACCACAUCCAAGCACUUCUUUGGAAUGUGAGAGUAACAAAUAUAUUUCUCUUAAGGAACAAACAAGUAAACACUGGAAAAUAAAGCACCAGAUUUAUGUGUUACUUCAUCUAGUCCCCUAGACAAUUUUAUUUGAUCCUUCCUGGUUAUCCUCCUUUUUGAUGAAUAUGAAUUUAAGAAGUCAGAAAGUCACUUUGAUUUAUUCUCUCAAAGACAGAAGGAUACAAAAUAGCAUUGAUGAUUGUUAGAAUUUGCAUUGUUUUAUGGCUUACAUAUCUAGAAUUUUCCUUAUGUAAAUAGUAUCUAAAAUAGUAACGCUCAGAAAAGUGUCACAAAUUAUAAGAACAACGAGAAACUAUGUUCUGCUUAUCAACAUCCUAGCUUCCUAAAAAAAUAUUAAAUGAUUUCAGUAAGUACAAUAUGCAAGAAGUUUUGUCUCUAGCUAAGACAAUUUGCAAACCAUUAAAUAGGUUUUUAUCCCACUGUAGAUCUAAACAUGCUGUGGAAACAAUUCAGAAUGAGUUUCUCAAAUGUAUUUGACCAAGGACCUUUGUUUAUAUAUCAAUUAACAAUCUUUGAUGUGUUAACUUUUGAAGAAGUUCGUAUAUUCACCUAGAAAUCCUAAAGGCACAGAAUAUCAAAGUCAGAAAGAAAACAUGGAUAUUGUACCACAGCUUUUCCCAGUGUACAAGACAGUUUCCAGAUCUCUAGGACUGAUUCCUCUAACAGCAUCUUGCUCUCCUGCCCCAAGUGCUGACAUGGUCAAUUCUUUGUGAUUUUUCUUUAGAUAACCAUCAUCUGCCCCAGUGAAAGAAAGUGGUAAAAAAUUUUUUAACACUGGUGAUUUAUAAGCUUCUAGCAUCUCAUUGUUUGCCACAGUUUGGUAAUUCUCAGAAUAAAGUCUUUUAACGUUCCCAUUACUUUGCCAACAGAGAUCUGUAGAGUCAAAUUUAUGGUUUUUCCAGUAGUCUUGUACAGAUGUGAGAGUUGGACUAUAAAGAAGGUUGAGUGCUGAAAAAGUGAUGCUUUUGAACUGUGGUGUUGGAGAAGACUCU
ensembl:lncRNA